rnacentral:snRNA from 1 species
AUCGCUUCUCGGCCUUUUGGCUAAGAUCAAGUGUAAAUAAAAAAUACAUUAUUUUAAAAAUCUGAUAUGAAAUGAUAUUUAUUGGGGCUUCUGGGCAAAUCAAUCACCCUUGUGCUAGAGUGUUAGGAUAUGUAGAGUG